AUCCAGCCGACGAGUUCCAAAUAGGACGAAAAGGGGUUCCUGGAU
rnacentral:hammerhead_ribozyme from 1 species